GCCCGGAUGGUGAAAUUGGUAAACACUGCGGACUUAAAAUCCGCCGGCGCAAGCCUUACGGGUUCGAGUCCCGUUCCGGGCA
rnacentral:tRNA from 1 species